rnacentral:rRNA from 1 species
GAUGAACGCUGGCGGCGUGCCUAAUACAUGCAAGUCGAGCGAACGGACGAGAAGCUUGCUUCUCUGAUGUUAGCGGCGGACGGGUGAGUAACACGUGGAUAACCUACCUAUAAGACUGGGAUAACUUCGGGAAACCGGAGCUAAUACCGGAUAAUAUUUUGAACCGCAUGGUUCAAAAGUGAAAGACGGUCUUGCUGUCACUUAUAGAUGGAUCCGCGCUGCAUUAGCUAGUUGGUAAGGUAACGGCUUACCAAGGCAACGAUGCAAAGCCGACCUGAGAGGGUGAUCGGCCACACUGGAACUGAGACACGGUCCAGACUCCUACGGGAGGCAGCAGUAGGGAAUCUUCCGCAAUGGGCGAAAGCCUGACGGAGCAACGCCGCGUGAGUGAUGAAGGUCUUCGGAUCGUAAAACUCUGUUAUUGGGGAAGAACAUAUGUGUAAGUAACUGUGCACAUCUUGACGGUACCUAAUCAGAAAGCCACGGCUAACUACGUG